UACGGGGGGUGCAAGCGUUAUUCGGAAUCACUGGGCGUAAAGGGCGCGCAGGCGGUUUGGUAAGUCAGAUGUGAAAGCCCGGGGCUCAACCCCGGAAGUGCAUUUGAUACUGCCAAACUUGAGUAUGGGAGAGGGAAGUGGAAUUCCUGGUGUAGAGGUGAAAUUCGUAGAUAUCAGGAGGAACACCGGUGGCGAAGGCGACUUCCUGGACCAAUACUGACGCUGAGGCGCGAAGGCGUGGGGAGCAAACAGGAUUAGAUACCCGCGUA
rnacentral:rRNA from 1 species